rnacentral:rRNA from 1 species
UCGGGAAUAUUGGACAAUGGGCGCAAGCCUGAUCCAGCCAUGCCGCGUGUGUGAAGAAGGCCUUCGGGUUGUAAAGCACUUUCAGCGAGGAGGAAGGGAGUUGUGUUAAUAGCACAGCUUCUUGACGUUACUCGCAGAAGAAGCACCGGCUAACUCUGUGCCAGCAGCCGCGGUAAUACAGAGGGUGCAAGCGUUAAUCGGAAUUACUGGGCGUAAAGCGCACGUAGGCGGUUUUUAAGUCAGAUGUGAAAGCCCCGGGCUCAACCUGGGAAUUGCAUUUGAAACUGGAAAACUAGAGUGUGUGAGAGGGGGGUAGAAUUCCAAGUGUAGCGGUGAAAUGCGUAGAGAUUUGGAGGAAUACCAGUGGCGAAGGCGGCCCCCUGGCACAACACUGACGCUCAUGCACGAAAGCGUGGGGAGCAAACAGGAUUAGAUACCCCCGUAGUCCCUGAGCGGGCUGGCAAGGCGCAU